AACCAGUUUGGUCACACACGGGCAAACCCAUGUGGGCAACAUAGGUCCCAAAAUGGUCCUUUAACAUUUGUAAAUGGGUUAUAAGUGGGCUAUCUGGCGUGGAUAUGGUCAGAGGUUGUCUCUGGAACCCAGUUGCGUAUACCACCUGGGGCGCAUACGCAUUCAAUAUUGGGCACAAUACAGAAUGUAUCAUUCAGGCGCUAAACGUUGGAGAUGUCCAGGCAAGACAACGGGAGCUGGAAAUCUUGCGUUAUUCGACCGCUACCUAUGAACAGGCCUGGAUAAAACUUAAAAGGGCAGAGGAGAAUUCUGAUCUGCAGACACUCAGACAUAAAUGAAGAAGAGUCAGGACCUAACUGUGGUAAAACAGCAACAGCAGCACUGCUCGAGGGGCUGAUUUCCCUAUGAAUACUAUCAUAAAUGUGGAGGCGAUGGAGCAAAAGUUACUUGACAGCUUUCCUGAAUGGAGUGUAAGCUGUGGAGGAGGAGGUGGACUGUUACGCAAAGGCCACUUCAUCAUCUGUCUGUUAAAUCAUCUGCAUGAUAGUGGAGAGAGAGUGAUGCAGACUUCAGUAUGUGUCAUCAACUUCCUGACAUAACUGCCUGACCUUCUAGGAAGCCAUUAAUUUCAUCAAAACAACCUGUAGAAACUACCCUGAAAUUCAUCCACUGAUGUCUUUAUAAAGUCUAGAUGGUAUAAACAAAAACAUAAAGGUACAAUACAUAACAUUUACAGAUAUCAAGAGUUCGUGUUGCAGUGUGUGGUUUAAAUGCAUUUUACCUUUCACCAUUGUAAUCUUCUAUAGCUUCAUUGUUAUCAAGAAAUGUCAUGGCAUAAAUAUACUUCAAGGCAAUGUAGAUCAUAGGCUACCUUCUAUACAUGAUUUCUCAAUGCCAAACCUCUUAUUGCUAACGCUUGUCAGAAGCUAAGCUACACUGUAUAUACAAAAGUAUGUGGACACCCCUUCAAAUUAGUGGCUUUGGCUAUUGCAGGCACACCCGAGCACACAGCCAUGCAAUCUAUAUAGACUAACAUUGGCAGUAGAAUGGCCUUACUGAAGCGCUCAGUGACUUUCAAUGUGGCAUUGUCAUAGGAUGCCACCUUUCCAAAAAGUCUGCUCAUCAAAUUUCUGCACUGCUAGAUCUGCCCCGGUCAACUGUAAGUGCUGUUAUG